rnacentral:rRNA from 1 species
CGGCAGCGCGGGAGCAAUCCUGGCGGCGAGUGGCGAACGGGUGAGUAAUACAUCGGAACGUGUCCUGUAGUGGGGGAUAGCCCGGCGAAAGCCGGAUUAAUACCGCAUACGCUCUACGGAGGAAAGGGGGGGAUCUUAGGACCUCUCGCUACAGGGGCGGCCGAUGGCAGAUUAGCUAGUUGGUGGGGUAAAGGCCUACCAAGGCGACGAUCUGUAGCUGGUCUGAGAGGACGACCAGCCACACUGGGACUGAGACACGGCCCAGACUCCUACGGGAGGCAGCAGUGGGGAAUUUUGGACAAUGGGCGCAAGCCUGAUCCAGCAAUGCCGCGUGUGUGAAGAAGGCCUUCGGGUUGUAAAGUACUUUUGUCCGGAAAGAAAACCUCCGCCCUAAUACGGUGGGGGGAUGACGGUACCGGAAGAAUAAGCACCGGCUAACUACGUGCCAGCAGCCGCGGUAAUACGUAGGGUGCAAGCGUUAAUCGGAAUUACUGGGCGUAAAGCGUGCGCAGGCGGUUUGCUAAGACAGAUGUGAAAUCCCCGGGCUUAACCUGGGAACUGCAUUUGUGACUGGCAGGCUAGAGUAUGGCAGAGGGGGGUAGAAUUCCACGUGUAGCAGUGAAAUGCGUAGAGAUGUGGAGGA